GAGGCUGUAGCUCAGUGGUAAAGCACUUGUCUCCCAGGUAUGAGGCUCUGGGUUCAAUCCUCAGCACCACA
rnacentral:tRNA from 1 species